CGUGUGCAACCUGCCUUUAUCUGGGGGAUAGCCUUUCGAAAGGAAGAUUAAUACCCCAUAAUAUACUGAAUGGCAUCAUUCGGUAUUGAAAACUCCGGUGGAUAGAGAUGGGCACGCGCAAGAUUAGAUAGUUGGUGAGGUAACGGCUCACCAAGUCUGCGAUCUUUAGGGGGCCUGAGAGGGUGAUCCCCCACACUGGUACUGAGACACGGACCAGACUCCUACGGGAGGCAGCAGUGAGGAAUAUUGGACAAUGGGUGAGAGCCUGAUCCAGCCAUCCCGCGUGAAGGACGACGGCCCUAUGGGUUGUAAACUUCUUUUGUAUAGGGAUAAACCUACCCUCGUGAGGGUAGCUGAAGGUACUAUACGAAUAAGCACCGGCUAACUCCGUGCCAGCAGCCGCGGUAAUACGGAGGGUGCAAGCGUUAUCCGGAUUUAUUGGGUUUAAAGGGUCCGUAGGCGGAUCUGUAAGUCAGUGGUGAAAUCUCACAGCUUAACUGUGAAACUGCCAUUGAUACUGCAGGUCUUGAGUGUUGUUGAAGUAGCUGGAAUAAGUAGUGUAGCGGUGAAAUGCAUAGAUAUUACUUAGAACACCAAUUGCGAAGGCAGGUUACUAAGCAACAACUGACGCUGAUGGACGAAAGCGUGGGGAGCGAACAGGAUUAGAUACCCUGGUAGUCCACGCCGUAAACGAUGCUAACUCGUUUUUGGAAUGUAAGUUUCAGAGACUAAGCGAAAGUGAUAAGUUAGCCACCUGGGGAGUACGAACGCAAGUUUGAAACUCAAAGGAAUUGACGGGGGCCCGCACAAGCGGUGGAUUAUGUGGUUUAAUUCGAUGAUACGCGAGGAACCUUACCAAGGCUUAAAUGGGAAAUGACAGGUUUAGAAAUAGACUUUUCUUCGGACAUUUUUCAAGGUGCUGCAUGGUUGUCGUCAGCUCGUGCCGUGAGGUGUUAGGUUAAGUCCUGCAACGAGCGCAACCCCUGUCACUAGUUGCCAUCAUUAAGUUGGGGACUCUAGUGAGACUGCCUACGCAAGUAGAGAGGAAGGUGGGGAUGACGUCAAAUCAUCACGGCCCUUACGCCUUGGGCCACACACGUAAUACAAUGGCCGGUACAGAGGGCAGCUACACUGCGAAGUGAUGCAAAUCUCGAAAGCCGGUCUCAGUUCGGAUUGGAGUCUGCAACUCGACUCUAUGAAGCUGGAAUCGCUAGUAAUCGCGCAUCAGCCAUGGCGCGGUGAAUACGUUCCCGGGCCUUGUACAC
rnacentral:rRNA from 1 species